rnacentral:rRNA from 1 species
AAGACCUUGCACUUUUGGAGCGGCCGAUGUCUGAUUAGCUAGUUGGUGGGGUAAAGGCCUACCAAAGCUUCGAUCAGUAGCUGGUCUGAGAGGACGGCCAGCCACACUGGGACUGAGACACGGCCCAGACUCCUACGGGAGGCAGCAGUGGGGAAUUUUGGACAAUGGGCGCAAGCCUGAUCCAGCCAUGCCGCGUGAGUGAAGAAGGCCUUCGGGUUGUAAAGCUCUUUCAGCCGGGAAGAAAAGGCUGCGACUAAUAAUCGCAGUUCAUGACGGUACCGGAAGAAGAAGCACCGGCUAACUACGUGCCAGCAGCCGCGGUAAUACGUAGGGUGCGAGCGUUAAUCGGAAUUACUGGGCGUAAAGGGUGCGCAGGCGGUUUUGUAAGUCAGAUGUGAAAUCCCCGGGCUUAACCUGGGAACU